rfam:Acidobacteria bacterium RIFCSPLOWO2_02_FTLL_60_20 rifcsplowo2_02_scaffold_43032, whole genome shotgun sequence.
GGGGGCGAAACGGCUUCGACGGGGAGGAGCAGGGCUAAAAGGCAUACCGGGGUCCACGCACCCGUAAUCGUGUGGAACAAACUUAAUUGCCAAUACUGAAUUGGCCCUCGCUGCUUAAAUCAAGCUAGCGACGUCGUCUCCGCUUCGCCCGUAGGGCGGUACGCGGCGUCACUUUUGCGGGCUGGCUCUUCUCUCUCGGUCCGUGAGGGAGGAGCGAGAUCCAUCGGGCUAGCGGCCGCCGGUUCUUGUCGGAGUCGAUGCCGGCGGUUGUGAAGCUUUUUCGAACCGACUAAGUAUGUAGUCUUUUAGUCAGGGGCCUUCUCGGACGGGGGUUCAACUCCCCCCGCCUCCACCA